rnacentral:rRNA from 1 species
UAGGGAAUAUUGGACAAUGGGCGAAAGCCUGAUCCAGCCAUGCCGCGUGUGUGAAGAAGGUCUUCGGAUUGUAAAGCACUUUAAGUUGGGAGGGAGGGCAGUAAAUUAAUACUUUGCUGUUUUGACGUUACCGACAGAAUAAGCACCGGCUAACUCUGUGCCAGCAGCCGCGGUAAUACAGAGGGUGCAAGCGUUAAUCGGAAUUACUGGGCGUAAAGCGCGCGUAGGUGGUUCGUUAAGUUGGAUGUGAAAUCCCCGGGCUCAACCUGGGAACUGCAUUCAAAACUGACGAGCUAGAGUAUGGUAGAGGGUGGUGGAAUUUCCUGUGUAGCGGUGAAAUGCGUAGAUAUAGGAAGGAACACCAGUGGCGAAGGCGACCACCUGGACUGAUACUGACACUGAGGUACGAAAGCGUGGGGAGCAAACAGGAUUAGAUACCCUGGUAGUCCACGCCGUAAACGAUGUCAAACUAGCCGUUGGGAGCCUUGAGCUCUUAGUGGCGCAGCUAACGCAUUAAGUUGACCGCCUGGGGAGUACGGCCGCAAGGUUAAAAGC